UACGGGGGGGGCAAGCGUUGUUCGGAAUUACUGGGCGUAAAGGGUUUGUAGGUGGCCCGCUAAGUCACACGUGAAAUCCCUCAGCUUAACUGGGGAACUGCGUGUGAGACUGGCAGGCUCGAGGGCAGGAGAGGAACGCGGAAUUCCAGGUGUAGCGGUGAAAUGCGUAGAUAUCAGGAAGAACACCAAUGGCGAAAGCAGCUCUCUGGGACGGUACUGACGCUGAGACGCGAAAGCGUGGGGAGCGAACAGG
rnacentral:rRNA from 1 species